UACGAAGGGGGCUAGCGUUGCUCGGAAUGACUGGGCGUAAAGGGCGCGUAGGCGGUUUGCACAGUCAGAUGUGAAAUUCCUGGGCUCAACCUGGGGGCUGCAUUUGAUACGUGUAGACUUGAGUGGGGGAAGAGGGUCGUGGAAUUCCCAGUGUAGAGGUGAAAUUCGUAGAUAUUGGGAAGAACACCGGUGGCGAAGGCGGCGACCUGGUCCUUGACUGACGCUGAGGCGCGAAAGCGUGGGGAGCAAACAGG
rnacentral:rRNA from 1 species